ACGACUGCUAAGACUGGAUAGGAAGAUAAAAGGCAUCUUGUAUCUUUUAAAAGACCUAGUUAAUAGGUAUGCUUUAGGAGGGGCUUGCGCCAUAUUAGUUAGUUGGUAGGGUAAUGGCCUACCAAGACGAUGAUGUGUAGCUGGACUGAGAGGUUGAACAGCCACAUUGGGACUGAGACACGGCCCAAACUCCUACGGGAGGCAGCAGUAGGGAAUUUUCGGCAAUGGAGGAAACUCUGACCGAGCAACGCCGCGUGAAUGACGAAGUACUUCGGUAUGUAAAGUUCUUUUAUCGAGGAAGAAAAGCAAAUGGCGAACCAUUUGUUUGCUGGUACUUGAUGAAUAAGCCCCGGCUAAUUAUGUGCCAGCAGCCGCGGUAAGACAUAAGGGGCAAGUGUUAUCCGGAAUUAUUGGGCGUAAAGGGUGCGUAGGCGGUCUAGUAAGUCAGUGGUGUAAUGGCAACGCUUAACGUUGUCCGGCUAUUGAAACUGCUAAACUUGAGUUAGAUAGAGGCGAGUGGAAUUCCAUGUGUAGCGGUAAAAUGCGUAAAUAUAUGGAGGAACACCAGAGGCGUAGGCGGCUCGCUGGGUCUUAACUGACGCUGAGGCACGAAAGCGUGGGGAGCAAACAGGAUUAGAUACCCUGGUAGUCCACGCCGUAAACGAUGAGUACUAAGUGUCGGGUUAAACCGGUACUGAAGUUAACACAUUAAGUACUCCGCCUGAGUAGUACGUACGCAAGUAUGAAACUUAAAGGAAUUGACGGGACUCCGCACAAGCGGUGGAUCAUGUUGUUUAAUUCGAAGAUACCCGAAAAACCUUACCAGGUCUUGACAUGUUUUUGCAAAAUGAUAGUAAUAUCGUGGAGGUUACCAGAAACACAGGUGGUGCAUGGUUGUCGUCAGCUCGUGUCGUGAGAUGUUAGGUUAAGUCCUAAGACGAGCGAAACCCUUAUCGUUAGUUGCCAGCACGUUAUGGUGGGGACUUUAACGAGACUGCCAAUGAUAAAUUGGAGGAAGGUGAGGAUCACGUCAAAUCAGCAUGCCCCUUAUGACCUGGGCUACAAACGUGAUACAAUGGCUGUUACAAAGGGUAGCUGAAACGCAAGUUCUUGGCCAAUCCCCAAAAACAGUCCCAGUCCGGAUUGAAGUCUGCAACUCGACUUCAUGAAGUUGGAAUCGCUAGUAAUCGCGAAUCAGCAUGUCGCGGUGAAUACGUUCGCGGGGUUUGUACACACCGC
rnacentral:rRNA from 1 species